CUAUACAUGCAGUCGACGCUUCUUUUUCCACCGGAGCUUGCUCCACCGGAAAAAGAGGAGUGGCGAACGGGUGAGUAACACGUGGGUAACCUGCCCAUCAGAAGGGGAUAACACUUGGAAACAGGUGCUAAUACCGUAUAACAAUCAAAACCGCAUGGUUUUGAUUUGAAAGGCGCUUUCGGGUGUCGCUGAUGGAUGGACCCGCGGUGCAUUAGCUAGUUGGUGAGGUAACGGCUCACCAAGGCCACGAUGCAUAGCCGACCUGAGAGGGUGAUCGGCCACAUUGGGACUGAGACACGGCCCAAACUCCUACGGGAGGCAUCAGGAAGGAAUGUUUGGCAAUGGACGAGAGUCCUUCCGAGCAACACCGCGUGAGUGAAGAAGGUUUUCGGAUCGUAAAACUCUGUUGUUAGAGAAGAACAAGGAUGAGAGUAACUGUUCAUCCUGUCGAUCA
rnacentral:rRNA from 1 species